GCAAUGUUGUAGUAAGGGACCAAAAACUCCAAGGAGUUUACACAGCCGAUGUUAGGUUAUUCUCCGCUCCUUCUGCUUUGAUUCUUUUAGGUUGGAAGAGCGCAUUGACUCAAGUUUUCUUUCUCUGGAAGGCUAGCAGAUAAACAGAUUCUGAUUAUGCAUACGACAAGUUACAUGUGGGUCACCUGACCAAAGUGUGAGGCCUAGCAAGAAGAGGAAGGAAUACCAUUGCGAGAUGAAGAAGAGUACAUCAGUGGUCAAGACAACGAUGACCCUUCAGCUCUAAAGAGGCCAAGAGUUGUUUGGUCAGUUGAACUGCAUAGAAAAUUCGUUGCUGCUAUCAACCAUCUUGGAAUUGACAAAGCUGUGGCAAAAAGAAUACUUGAGCUCAUGAAUGUUGAGAAACUCACUAGGGAAAAUAUUGCAAGCACCAAAAGGCAAGGAACUUUAUGUACUUUCUUGUAGUUAUCAGUAUGUCAGUACCUUGUCCAGCCUAUACUGCCAAAUGUAAAUCUAUGUACUGCAGCCAGCAACUAGGUAUUAAAGAUAGCAGUGCAUACAACAAGUUAUACCCAAGAGAUAGUUCUGAUAUAUUUGGCACUAGGCAUUGUAUACCCUGCAAAUUUCCAUUAUGCAAAUGGUACAGGAAACUACCAUAUAUUAUGCCGACCAGUUAACAUUAUUUAAGUUAUGCUGAAAGAAAGCACCGCUCCCACACUCCUUGCUUAAUUCAAGAAUGAAUACUACAUGCCUCUUAUAGCAACCGAUAUCACCCCAUGGGUGCGGCGUGUAGGAUUCCCUCUAGAAUUGAAGUGUGUUAUUAUGGGUUUAAGUUAAUCAAUGAGGGGAUGGUUGCUAAGACAUAGCUAACUGGGUACAAAUAUUUA